GAUGAACGCUGGCGGUGUGCCUAAUACAUGCAAGUUGAGCGCUGACGGAUGGUACUUGUACCCACUGGAUGAGCAGCGAACGGGUGAGUAACGCGUGGGGCGUCUGCUUUUGAGUGGGGGACAAUAUCUGGAAACGACUGCUACUACCGCAUAAAACCUUUAACCACAAGUUUUAAGUUUGCAUGAUGCAAUUGCAUCACUCAUAGAUGAACCCGCGUUGUAUUAGUUAGUUGGUGAGGUAAAGGCUCACCAAGGCGGUGAUACAUAGCCGACCCGAGAGGGAGAACGGCCACAAUGGGACUGGGACAAGGCCCAAACUCCCUCGGGGAGGAGCAGUAGGGGAACAUCGGAAAAUGACGAAAAGCUUGCCGAACAACGCCGCGUGAGUGAAGAAAGUUUUCGGGUCGUAAAACUCUGUUUGUAGAGAAGAAAGAUGGUGAGGGUGGAAAGCUCAUCAAGUGACGGUAACUACCCAGAAAGCAACGGCUAACUACGUG
rnacentral:rRNA from 1 species